UGAGGUCUACACUGUUGGUUAAGGGCUUGUCAGUCAGCAUUUCACUGUGAGGUCUACACUGUUGGUUAAGGGCUUGUCAGUAAACAUUUCACUGUGAGGUCUACACUGUUGGUUAAGGGCUUGUCAGUAAAGCAUUUCACUGUGAGGUCUACACUGUUGGUUAAGGGCUUGUAAGUAAAGCAUUUCACCGUAAAGUCUACACUUGUUGUAUUCGGCGCGUGUGACAAAUACUGUUUUUGAUUUGAUUUGAUAACUCUUGGUGUUUUCUCAAAAGUGGUUACAUUCUGUGGAUUCUUCAAAUACCUUGAGUUGAUUUCUGACGUGAUGUUUUCUAUUUUUCUGUAGUGCAUUUCUGUGUUGUUUUAGUGACUCGCCGUAGUGAAGGCGUAGGCUGAGGUUUUCUGAGGUUUUCUGAGUCUACAGAGAGAUUCUCUCUCUCUUUUUAUCCCUCCCCCUCUCGCUUUCUCUCUCUUUCUCUCUCUUUUUCUUUCUUUCUUUCUUUCUUUCUUUCUUUCUUUCUUUCUUUCUUUCUUUCUUUCUCUCUCUCUCUCUCUCUCUCUCUCUCUC